UACGGAGGGUGCAAGCGUUGUUCGGAAUUACUGGGCGUAAAGCGCGUGUAGGCGGACUCGGAAGUCGGGUGUGAAAGCCCCGGGCUUAACUCGGGAAGUGCGCUCGAAACCACGAGUCUGGAGGUCCGGAGGGGAUCGGGGAAUUCCCAGUGUAGAGGUGAAAUUCGUAGAUAUUGGGAGGAACACCGGUGGCGAAGGCGCCGAUCUGGACGGAUUCUGACGCUGAGACGCGAAAGCGUGGGUAGCAAACAGG
rnacentral:rRNA from 1 species